AGUGAACGCUGGCGGCGUGCUUAACACAUGCAAGUCGAACGAGAACGGAUUAUAGCUUGCUAUAAUUGUCAGCUAAGUGGCGCACGGGUGAGUAAUAUAUAGUUAACCUGCCCUCAAGAAAGGAAUAACAGUUGGAAACGACUGCUAAUGCCCUAUAUGCCUUUAAUACAUAAGUAUGCAAGGGAAACGCUUUAGUGCUUGAGGAUGGGACUGUAUGGUAUCAGCUUGUUGGUGAGGUAAUGGCUCACCAAGGCUAUGACGCCUAACUGGUUUGAGAGGAUGAUCAGUCACACUGGAACUGAGACACGGUCCAGACUCCUACGGGAGGCAGCAGUGGGGAAUAUUGCACAAUGGACGAAAGUCUGAUGCAGCAACGCCGCGUGGA
rnacentral:rRNA from 1 species